AUUGAACGCUGGCGGCAUGCUUUACACAUGCAAGUCGAACGGUAACACGGGGGCAACCCUGGUGGCGAGCGGCGAACGGGUGAGUAAUACAUCGGAACAUGCCCAGUCGUGGGGGAUAACACUUCGAAAGAAGUGCUAAUACCGCAUACGUCCUGAGGGAGAAAGCGGGGGAUCUUCGGACCUCGCGCGAUUGGAGUGGCCGAUGUCAGAUUAGCUAGUUGGUGGGGUAAAGGCCUACCAAGGCAACGAUCUGUAGCUGGUCUGAGAGGAUGAUCAGCCACACUGGGACUGAGACACGGCCCAGACUCCUACGGGAGGCAGCAGUGGGGAAUUUUGGACAAUGGGGGCAACCCUGAUCCAGCCAUUCCGCGUGAGUGAAGAAGGCCUUCGGGUUGUAAAGCUCUUUCGGCAGGAACGAAACGGCGAGCUCUAACAUAGCUUGCUAAUGACGGUACCUGAAGAAGAAGCACCGGCUAACUACGUGCCAGCCGCCGCGGUAAGAC
rnacentral:rRNA from 1 species